AAGCCUUAAGGAGAGCAGUGACAAUGUGGUUGCUAAGCGCUUUCUUCCUGGCAGCUGUUUUUUCCUGUGGCUCUGCACAAGACUUGCAUCAAACCCCCAUAUCCAUCACAAAGCCAGAAGGCAGAACAGUGCUAAUCAACUGCCACGUCUCCAGUUCUGAUUUUAGUAACAUUUUCAUUCACUGGUACCGAAAGAGGGCCAAUGCAGCUCCAGAACGUGUUGCCUACAUGUCCUCCAGGAUUUUCCUCGAAAACCAGUCGGAUGAGGGGAAGUUUAGUAUUGAGAAGGAUCUCAGCAAAUCUAUCUGCACCCUGACAGUGAGCAAAAUAACUCUGCAAGACUCCGCCACCUACUACUGCGCUAGGUGGGAUGCACAUCAACAGAAAGCCAUAGGGGACCUGCACAAAGACUGCUCUUCUUUUGAAAUCAGAUCCUGCAGUGUUUGACAGCAUGCAGGAACAUCACCACCCUGCAGAUAUGGGUGAUACUUAUCAGUAGUCACUCCCAUCUUAUGAUAUAAUGACUCUGUCUUAUAGGCAAGGAUCUGUUACACUGGGCAACACCUGAAAAGGCUGUUCCAAGAAAGGAUAGCGAAGACCUUUUACAACGGAAAAUGGCAAACUGAAGCAGGGAUAUGGAAAUGGUAACACAGCACUGCUCAGCCAGACAGCUGUGAGGAGAGCCAAAGUGAAAUUUCGCUUAUGUGGUAUUCACAAUGGUAUUCACAACCCCAUGUCCAUGCAAGUGGUUUUUUUGUUCUUUCAUUAGAGAUAUGUCUGCACUACAGGACCUGACACAAAUUCAUGUAUUUAUCACAAGGACAACAGAACAAUAUGAACUUUCGGUACUAGCUGUGAGACGAGAUUUAUUCGUGAACACUGCUAUUGACAAAGGCCUAAAAAUUCUCUCUUUCGGGUCAGAAAAUAUGACAUUUUUCUCAGGGAAGAGUAUGAUGUGUGGUGGCUGCUAUCCAAGGGACCAUCUGCUGUAAAGUCUUUGCAAGGAAUUUUUUCAGCGCUCUGAAAUGAGGGAAAGUACAAGAAAAAGCAGGGGGCAGCAAAUAGCUGGCUGGUGGAAAUGCAUGCUUCACCCUGACUUUGCCACAGCCACUGGGACUCUCUUGCAAUAGAGCCACCAGCUGUAUUUUUCCUAUU